GUAUAGCCCAUAAAGAUCUCCGCCACGGCACAACCCAAGGGGGGGCGCCAACCCAGACAGGAAGACCACGUCAGUGACUCAACCCACUCAAGUGACGCACCCCUCCUUGGGACGGCAUGGAAGAGCACCAGUAAGCCAGUGACUCAGCCCCUGUAAUAGGGUUAGAGGCAGAGAAUCCCAGUGGAGAGAGGGGAACCGGCCAGGCAGAGACAGCAAGGGCGGUUCGUUGCUCCAGAGCCUUUCCGCUCACCUUCACACUCCUGGGCCAGACUACACUCAAUCAUAGGACCUACUGAAGAGAUGAGUCUUCAAUAAAGACUUAAAGGUUGAGACCGAGUCUGCGUCUCUCACAUGGAACUACCCACCACAAUUGGAUCAACCGGCGUGCCCGGGCAGUGAUGGAUACCUGGUCGAUGAAAGAGUGGACCGAAAGGAGAAACUGGACUUGGGGCCAGGACUAGGUGCUGACACAGUCCAAUCAUGGGCCGGCAGGCUACGAGGAGUCUCCAUAGUUGACUCCUUCAGGCAAGAUGAAAACGACUACAUCGACCAUGAUCCUUUACUACUUACGGCCACUUUCACCAUGAUCCGUAGUGAUUUUUUGGUGCUAUUCAGCCCCAUUCAGCGAUAUGGCAUGCUUCAAAUACUUCAGGAGUUUUCCAUAGGAAUACGUGGUUGAUGUCAACACUAUCACUAUCAACUGGUUUGGAUGUCUAUGGUUUAGCCUACAUGAUGAGAUUAUUAUGGACAAAAUAAAAAAAUGUAUUUGUCAAACUGCAGCCAAGCAUCGAUGAUCAUGUCACCAGAAUAAGACCCUCGAUAUUUAUUGGAAAGGAGAAUCAAGCUCAUCACCUUGUACUUUCACCACCCUGUGAAGUUAUUUCAUAUUUAGCUUAAUAAUCUGUCUGCUUUCCCGAUGUGUCGUAGUGGGAGGACCACACAAUACGUCAUUGCGACACCAAGUUUACUUCGAUAUGAAGGUUAUUAUAUCAACAUUUGCGCAUAAAAGCAUUUCCACCAACAUUUCUCGCUUAAUACAUUUUACUGACACAAAAAGAUCCCACCUUGUCUAGCGUAUUUUGUUUUGUCAACAUUUAGAAAGUUUAGGCCCGUCAUGAUUUUUUUUUAACGACAUGUACUUUAUUUGCAUAAAUAGGUUGGAUGGAAACCUGAUUAGUGAUAACUAAAAUAGCUAAGUGCAGAGAUGUAAACUGAACAAAAAUAUAAACGCAACAUGUAAAGUGUUGUUUCAUGAGCUGAAAUAAACGAGCCCAGAAAUGUUCCAUAUGAACAAACAGCUUAUUUCUCUCAAAUGUUGUGCAUGAAUUUGUUUACAUCCCUGUUAGUGAGCAUUUCUCCUUUGCCAAUAUAAUCCAUCCACCUGACAGGUGUGGAAUAUCAAAAAGCUGAUUAAAUGGCAUAAUCAUUACACAGGUGCAUCUUGUGCUGGGGAAAUAAAAGGCCACUCUAAUAUGUGUAGUUUUGUCACACAACACAAUGCCACAGAUGUCUCAAGUUUUGAGGGAGAGUGCAAUUGGCAUGCUGAUUGCAGGAAUGUAAUUUCUCUACCAUAAGCCGCCUCCAACGUUGUUUUAGAGAAUUUGGCAGUACGUCCAACCGGCCUCAACCGCAGACCAUGUGUAACCACGCCAGCUCAGGACCUCCACAUCAGGCUUCUUCACCUGCGGGAUCGUCUGAGACCAGCCACCCGGACAGCUGAUGAAACUGAG
rnacentral:lncRNA from 1 species